AUUUAAAGGGAAACUGAACGCCAAAAAUAAGUAUGGCUUAUCCGAAGGAGAAUUGGGCACUGAUUCCGAUGAGCUAUGUCUCGAGCCGAUCAGAGAAGAGGAACUGUGUCAAAUUUCAUAAAUAACACCUCCCAUAUUUGGAAAUUGGCCUUGAUGACGUGCGUACUGCUUAGCUGUCACCAUGCUGUGCAUGUUCAGCAGUGUAAUUGAAUGGAAGAAAACAAUUACUUUGGUGUUUUGCAGCUCUGUUUCGUUCCCUGACGGUAACCAAAUCUAGAUGUAGGAAUAUGUUGAGCAGGAGAGGGACACAUGUCUUCCCGAAGGCUGUCCAGGCUGCAGUGGUGAUGAAGAAGACACGAUCAUCACCCCGAGAUCGAUCGUAGCGAAUUGGAAAACUCAUGGUGAAUUUGCUUCCACUCCAAGGCAAUGUCGAGCCUGGGUGUUCUUCGGCGAGGUGUUCUUCGGCGCCCGAUCUUACUGUAGUGGCUAGUGAGCAACACUAACAGAGCCUUGACGUUGCUGGAUGAGCGACAAUAUACAUUACAUAAACAUGUAGCUCGUGAUGUGGGAUGACUGCCGUAUCGCAUUGCCAACGCAAACCCAUCCUGUGUCAGUGCAGCCAUCCAGCAAGUUGAACUCCCCGGACCAGAUGCCGCUGCAGCUGAACACCAUGCCGAUGGAAAGCCAGGAGUUGAUAGCGAAGCAUUCUGGUCUGCACAGUACAAGGCAAAGAACAAUUAUGAAUUAUAAUGCAUUGUAAUCUUUCCCACACUUCUUUGUAAAAACAAACAAACAGUGCCAUUAUCACAACACUUGAUCAAGCAUCUUGAUGGAGGUAAUUUCCAUUGUGCUGGCUCAGCAUCUGCACCAGGAAGACCAUGUACACUUACACGUA